UACAGAGGUCUCAAGCGUUGUUCGGAUUCAUUGGGCGUAAAGGGUGCGUAGGCGGCGCGGUAAGUCGGGUGUGAAAUCUCGGAGCUUAACUCCGAAACUGCAUUCGAUACUGCCGUGCUUGAGGACUGGAGAGGAGACUGGAAUUUACGGUGGUAGCGGUGAAAUGCGUAGAUAUCGUAAGGAAGACCAGUGGCGAAGGCGGGUCUCUGGACAGUUCCUGACGCUGAGGCACGAAGGCCAGGGGAGCAAACGGG
rnacentral:rRNA from 1 species